ACAGUGCGGCCGUUGGUCAAAAGGGCACCCUUCCACUCUUUCAAGAACAUAGUUCCGGCAGGAAGAACAACCUCAUUUCCAGGAAAAUGUCAAGUGACUAUUUUGAAAGGAAAAUGGAAGCAAAUCUUAAUUUUCAGAAAAAAUGAGGAAUUCGGGAUGGAAGUGCCAUAUUCUUCAGAGUAGAUGCUCCAGGCUCAUCUUGAAUAUUCCCUGUCUUGGUCUUGGAGCCAACCACUUCUGCUGAGGAAUCUGGUUUCUUUUGCUGGAGAAUGGUAGCAGAACCCAGUGACAGGCGGCCGAGGUGCUCCCUGUUCCUGAGGUGUCACCGCAUCCAGGCCCCCAGCUGACAGCUCAAGGGGAUGUUUGUGUGUGUACGAAUCUUCAUAUACUCACGCCUCCGCAGGCGUUUCUCUGUGCACAUCUACACGUAUAUGCAGUCAGCAUGCGCUCACACGGGCGGCUCUGCUGUCAUCCACCGCCACAUGGAUCGUUCUCGCCUCCUCCCCUUGCUUACCUGUGACCUCCCACCCCAACCGCGAGCAACCAGGCGUCACCAGCUGCCAUCCACGUGGGUACUUACACAACUCCAGAGAACGUGCACAGUGGCCUCAGGAUGGCUGACCCCAGGCCCAUCUUCAGACAGUGGAUCUGCAGGCUUGGGGCAAUUUCUAAACCACCUCCCUUUCUUGAAGAUGACCUAGAGUCCGUCUGGAUCCUGUUUCUGACCCGGCCACUCAGCCCUCUCUGCCAUCGCAGGCCGGGCGCGGCAGGGCCUCCGGAGGAGCGCCACGUUCCCCGGGCGCGGCGGGCUCUUUGGCUGUCGCUUGACUAUGCUUCAGGAUCAUGGCCACGUCCUUCAAUGACACACCCUCUUCCCUUGGACAUAAGUCCUCCGAAACGCCGCCGGCAUCAGCCCCAUACUCAGUAACCUGGCAGCGGCUCCUGACUUCCUCACUGUGUCUUGACUCUUCUGCGGAGCUCCCAGGCUGGCCCUCCUCAGAUCCAGCCUCCCGGACCAUCUCCCUGGACUGCACAAUCCGCGACACAGCUGGACUUCUCUCUGCUCGCUCCCACGUGCCCUUUCUCCUUCCACCCUCAGCGACGGCGCCCCUUAGGGCCCCUACAGAAAAUCCUGCCCUCCCGGCCCCCCAGAUGCACCUGCCUGUCCUCCAGGCUCAGCUGCAGCCUUCCAGAACCAGCGCUCCUCCCCACAGUGAUUCUUGUCUUCCAGGCUUCUACGGAACCAAGCGGGCACCAAAAGUCUUGGCACUCGAUGAUCCUCUAAUUCGUGAACGCAGUGCCGAGUGAGUGCAGGUGACUGUCGGAAGUUCUGCGGUUGCCUUGGCUCAUGGGCAUCAGUUAGAGGGUGUGCUAGUGGGCAGCGGGGGCUCCGUGGAGGGCGUUACUGGCAUCUCAGUUCCCGUUGCUUAUAUGCCACUUAGUCUCGACUCUCUCAUACAUUAUGAGCCCUCGGUUGGUCAUUCUGUCCUGCACAACUUUCUCCUCCUCUGCGUCUGUCUGACUCAUCAAGCUAAAUGUAGAUUCACUAAUCUGAACUUAAAACUGAAUUCUGAAGUUCAAAUUCAUACGUGUUUUGGGAGCUCGUGAACCAACACCACUGCACACGUUUGAUCAGCUCAGAACGUGAACGUGCCUGUGUCGGGUGGAAGCUUAUGGAUAGCGACGCGGGUGACCUGAUGGCAGGUCGUUGAGCUGUUUCCCAUUCUGGUCUCUGUACACUCUGCUGUAGAAACCUUCCUCUUGUGCCGGAUCACAGUUUAUUAUCAGCCUUCUAGCCAAUUUUCUUUAAAAUCACAAAAUAAAUCAAGAGGGAAUGAGCAUGUGCAGUUGAUUCUUUGAAGACAUGAUUUGAGUCCUCCUGAUAAUAUAUGAAUUGAAGUUGUCCUUUGUGCAUUGGACUAAAUCCAGCAGCAUCAGUGGUCAAGGACAUUUGAUUAUUUUUAUAUAGUAGAAUAAAACGGAACUGAUUGCAUACUUUAUUUAAAGAAAGAUUUUACUGAGGAGAAAAGUAAUAAUCCAACAUAUUCUUAAAGCCUUGACUAGACUUCUCUUGUGGUUGGUGAGAAUGCAAUUCAUGAUGAUGUGUUAAAUAUUAAAACCAAUAUUUGAUUUAAUCCAAACUUAUAGGACAGCUUUGCUUAAUCUACUGCCUGUCACACAAUUUCCUUUCCAGGUAACUUUCAGCUCACUGCAUCAGUAACAGUGCCCACGUCCUUCUGCUGUCUCAGCGAGCCUGGUAUCGCAGUUGAACUGUCCAACACUGGAUUCCUGCAGCUUGGGUCCCUCUCUCUUUUCCUCUUCUUCCCUUCACCUGGGCUACCUUGUCAUUCCAUCAUGACUCCGUGAGUUCAAGUGUGGAAGCUGGAGGCAUUUUUCAAGAGUCAGCAUCUGGGUUUGCCUUGACCUUGAACGCUUUCUUGGUGAUGAAAGGAUAAGUUCUUGCCAAGGGCACGUUCCUUCCAAGGAACAGCAUCAGAGAAGGAAGAAGCUAGCCCCUUCCUCUCACCUCUUCAAGAUUCUCAUCUUCAGUAACGAAUGGUGUGGCUACUAAAUUCAGUUUCCUUUCGGAUUUCCCUGUAGUGGAUCCAUCCAUCAUGUUCCCGGUCUGCAGCAUUUACUGAGCACCUACUGCAUGCAGGCCCUGAGACACACCCUGCAGAUUUCGGGGAAGAGUGCGGCCCUGCAGUCUUGCUGCUGACAAGCCUUCGGGGAACCAGAAUCGAAUGGGUAACGGCGCAUUUGGUGAGCGUUCCCAGAGAGGGAACUACAGUGGGGCCUCCAGCUCCAGGUAAACCUAGCCAGAUCCCUAAGGGGAAGAGGGCACAGGACCAGUAAGAGGGUCCUCAAGAGGUGGACAGGGCAUGGGGGCAGCCCUGAGUGAGAGCAUGCUGUGCCCUGCGAGAAUGAAAGGAGCCAGUCUGACCCGGGCCCUGCCCAGAGUGUGCAAGGGGGAGGGUCCCAGCAGCGCUUUGGCCAACCUGAGGACUGUCGGAGAGGCCAGGCUAGACCCCUCCGGUGCAGCAGGAAGGGGAGCAAGAGAAGGGUGCAGGGCCCACAGGAGUGAAGCAAAGGGAAGAAGGGCCGGGGGCAGGCUGAACUCCUCCUGGAGCCGGAGGAGAGGCGAGGCUCAGCCCAUCCCAGCAGCCAGCCCCUCCCUCAAGUCUGUGCUGGCAGUAGUCGGUGCCUGAGGCCCACAUAGCUCCGGGUCCCUCCUCCAUCUGCUCGUCCUGCCCCUCUACCCUGACCGCGUCUCCACUGCUGUUCCCUCCAGAAGCAGAAGGGACUUGCCGGGCUCAGGACGCUGACUACAGGAUCGGAGGCCGAUGAGGGACUGGCUCCCUUCCAGGAGCCUGAAAAUACCACUUGUUUUUGUUUUGGUUUGGUCUGGUUCCUGUUUUUCCUCCCUUUAGGGAAGCAGUGCUGUUCUGGGAACCCCCUCUUUCUUUUUCCAGCGAACUAGAGCAUGAGGAAUGCAGGCACAGCCUCUGGGGCCAACAGUUGGCCCUGACUCAGCUUUGCCACUUACUAGUGGUAACGUGGGAGGGACUCAAGCCUCGGUUUCCCAUCCAGACAGUUUGGGGGUCACAGUGAUUU